CCCAGGCGCCCCCUGAGCAGGCUUUCUUAACAGAAGGCCAUGAGGUACUCUUUCAUGAGUUUGGUUUCAACACACGUGUGAUGUGAGACAGACCUAGUCUGACCUCAAAAAGACUUGACCUCAAAAAGAUGAUUUAUCCUGUAUUUGCCCAUUUCUCUCCAUCUAAACUGCUACCCUCAGGGUAAAAAUCAAUUAUCAGCA